rnacentral:lncRNA from 1 species
CACUUUGUUCUGUCAAUAAUAACAAAUCAGAAUCACUUCAGUGCAUUUUUUUUCUUUUUUGUAACUUUUGGAUUGAAAUGUUAAAGACAGUAAAAGGAAUGUUACUUUAGUGAUCUAGAAAUACAAAACAAUAGUUGUAAUUCUUAUUUUCAAGAUGGUACAGCGAGCUCAGUAGUCUUUGGUCAUGUUCAGCAUAGGGAUUGUUUUUUUGCUUUCUCGAAAAACAAACAAAACAAAACUCCCAAGCAUUACUUACAAGUAAUUGAAAAAAGAUCCAUAAUUUUCUUCAUAGCACUUUGUGCAAAAUGUGAAAAGCCAUUCCUGGGUCAUCAUCAUUAUGAGAGAAAAGGCUUGGCGUACUGUGAAACCCACUGCAGCAAUCAGUUGUGUCUGCUCUGCAUAAGGCAUGGUGUGUGAACUGUUUUGCUUGUUCAACUUGCAACGCAAAGUUAAUGCUCAAAAAUAAAUUUGUUGAGUUUGAGAUGAAGCCUGUCUAC